rnacentral:rRNA from 1 species
AACAAACGCUGGCGGCGUGCCUAAUACAUGCAAGUCGAACGAGAAAGUUCCUUCGGGAGCGAGUACAGUGGCGCACGGGUGAGGAACACGUGGAUAAUCUGCCCUUCAGUGGGGAAUAACUAGCCGAAAGGUUAGCUAAUACCGCAUAAGACCACAGUAGCUGCGGCUACAGUGGUUAAAGAUUUAUCGCUGAAGGAUGAGUCCGCGUCCGAUUAGUUUGUUGGUGAGGUAAUGGCUCACCAAGACUACGAUCGGUAACUGGUCUGAGAGGAUGAUCAGUCACACUGGAACUGAGACACGGUCCAGACUCCUACGGGAGGCAGCAGUAGGGAAUAUUGCACAAUGGAGGAAACUCUGAUGCAGCGACGCCGCGUGAGUGAUGAAGGCCUUCGGGUUGUAAAGCUCUGUUCUAUGGGAAUAAGUUCUGAAGGUACCAUAGAAGAAAGGACCGGCUAACUUCG